rnacentral:rRNA from 1 species
UCCUACGGGAGGCAGCAGUAGGGAAUCUUCCGCAAUGGACGAAAGUCUGACGGAGCAACGCCGCGUGAGUGAUGAAGGCUUUCGGGUCGUAAAACUCUGUUGUUAGGGAAGAACAAGUGCUAGUUGAAUAAGCUGGCGCCUUGACGGUACCUAACCAGAAAGCCACGGCUAACUACGUGCCAGCAGCCGCGGUAAUACGUAGGUGGCAAGCGUUAUCCGGAAUUAUUGGGCGUAAAGCGCGCGCAGGUGGUUUCUUAAGUCUGAUGUGAAAGCCCACGGCUCAACCGUGGAGGGUCAUUGGAAACUGGGAGACUUGAGUGCAGAAGAGGAAAGUGGAAUUCCAUGUGUAGCGGUGAAAUGCGUAGAGAUAUGGAGGAACACCAGUGGCGAAGGCGACUUUCUGGUCUGUAACUGACACUGAGGCGCGAAAGCGUGGGGAGCAAACAGGAUUAGAUACCCUGGUAGUCCACGCCGUAAACGAUGAGUGCUAAGUGUUAGAGGGUUUCCGCCCUUUAGUGCUGAAGUUAACGCAUUAAGCACUCCGCCUGGGGAGUACGGCCGCAAGGCUGAAACUCAAAGGAA